rnacentral:rRNA from 1 species
AGCCAUGCAUGUCUAAGUAUAAGUGUUAUACAGCGAAACUGCGAAUGGCUCAUUAAAACAGUUAUAGUUUAUUUGACAAUCGAAUUUACAUGGAUAACCGUGGUAAUUCUAGAGCUAAUACAUGCUGGUGUGCCCGACUUUUCGGAAGGGCGGUAUUUAUUAGAUAACAAGCCAAUAUUCCUCUGGUCUAUUGUGGUGACUCAUAAUAACUGAUCGAAUCGCAAGGCCUAUGGCCGCGAUAAGUCAUUCAAGUUUCUGCCCCAUCAGCUUUCGAUGGUAGUGUAUUGGACUACCAUGGCGUUUACGGGUAACGGAGGAUUAGGGUUCGAUUCCGGAGAGGGAGCCUGGGAAACGGCUACCACAUCUAAGGAAGGCAGCAGGCGCGUAAAUUACCCAAUCCUGACUCAGGGAGGUAGUGACAAGAAAUAACGGACCGAGGCCUUCGGGCUUCGGGAUUGCAAUGAGCCGAAUUUACACCCCUUAGCGAGGAUCGAUUGGAGGGCAAGUCUGGUGCCAGCAGCCGCGGUAAUUCCAGCUCCAAUAGCGUAUAUUAAAGUUGUUGCAGUUAAAAAGCUCGUAGUUGGAUUUCUGGGAGGGUGCCAAUGUCCGCCGACGUGCGUGCGCAGCGGCGCCCUUCCAUCCUUCUGUUAACGCCUCUUGGCAUUCAUUUGCUGGUGGCGGGCUCAGAUAUUUUACCUUGAGAAAAUUAGAGUGUUUCAGGCAGGCUAGGCCGGAAUACAUUAGCAUGGAAUAAUGGAAUAGGACUACGGUCUCUUUGUCGGUUUGAGGGACUGCAGUA